CGCCGCAGCCGGGGCCUGAGCUCGGAGACGGCGCCUUCUCCACGGAAAAGCUCUCGGGAGUCCUCCUCCUGCCCUCCUCGGCGGCUCUUUCCAAAGCCUUCCGGAUGCGACCCCCCCUGAGCCACCACCCUCCGGCUCCCUCCGGUCCCCAGCCUGGCCCGUCCACCGAGUGCUCCCCUCGAAGAACUUCACCGCCCCUCCGCAGGGGCCACGUUAAAAAUUGCCUCUCCUUCCUGCCCCAAGCUGUGCUGUGCCCGGCACAUCACAAGAUCGUGGUCUACUCAGGAAAACGUCCCUGUGAGUCCUGUGCCGUGUGCUUCUCCACGGGAGCGCCUUUCUGUAUGGGCUCCCGGAAAGGAAAACCGCGUGGAAGCCCCCAUAAAAGAAUGUGUGGCUGUACCUGGAACGUUAAGACCCACUGAAGUCAGCAACCUCCAGCCUAGGACUCCAGCGACCGCCCAAGAAAUGCUAGAUGUCUCCACCCACUUAGACACCUUCCAUCUGUGUGUCCUUGAGAAAGUUACUCACUUGAUCUACCACGGUACCACCCUGAAUACACCCAAUUUUGGUUGCUCUCAGAAGUUAAGCAGAGUCUGGCUACUACUCAUCUGCCCUCUACUUCAGUCUCCUUCUCCUCCUCCCUCAGACACAUUAUUUUUUGUCACUAGUCCUCUGCUGAGAGAAAGUCAGGGUACAGGGGCUUGAGAGGAGUAUUAGUCACAGAGUAUGGUGGAAAAGAAUAGCAAUAUCUUCGUCAGCACUGCUCAAGAUUAAAUGGCAAAGUGCAUGUAAUGACCCCAGACUUAUGGCUAGGUCGCAGGUCGGGGUAUACAAAAUUUUUCAAAAUAAUUAAAAAGAACGCAUUGCAGGCCAGGGAUUUAGCUCAGUGGCAACAGAUGUGCCUUGAAAGUGCUAGGUCUUGAGUUAGAUCUCCCGAACCAAAACAGCAUCUCAGACAUUCUCCUGUUGUUGGUAUAGAAUUUGCUCCAGGUGAAAUCACUGGGUCAAAGAGUAUGACUGUUUCAAAAGCUGGGUGCUAAUUUCCAUGUCAACUGGAGUGAAAGUGAGCUCCAGCUUUAGCAUGUCUUUACCAAGGUCAAAUACUUGUACUUUAAAAAUGCCUUGCUAAUUUGACAGGUGAAAAAAGACUGUCACUUGUCAUCUCACUGUCCAUUCUGUUGGUAACUCAUGAUACUGAAACCUUUGACCAAAACCACUAUGUUUAUUCAUUUAUUUAUUUGUACCGGGGAUCAAACUGAGAAACAACUUGCGCUUGGGGGGCAGGCAUGGUGACACUGAGCUAAAUCCCCAGUCCACUACAUUUAUUUAUUACUUAUAUUUUCUCUCUCUCUCUCUCUCUCUCUCUCUCUCUCUCCACCUUUUGCAAUAUUUCUAUAGAGGUCUUUGUGUUUCCCUUUAAUGUUUUAAGCAAGAUGGGAUUGUUUUAUCCUAAAUAAGAUGGGACUGAGUAAGGGACUAUUUUUUAAUACAGUUUUUUUGAGGCAAGGUCUCCUUACAUAGUCCAGGCUGGCCUUGAACUCAUGAACCACUUGCUGGGAUGACAGGUGUGAGUCCCUUGCUGGGACUCAUUUUUUCUGUCACUAAUCCCAGAAAGUCAGGGUACAGGGCCUGAGAGGAGUAUUAGUCACAGGAUACAGUGGAAAAGAGUGACCAAAGAAAUACAUUUGGAUGACCACAUCAGCAUGUGGUCCUGCCCAGAGUGAGCUGACAUCUUAUUAAAUGAGAACAGUUCCCAAAGCACAG
rnacentral:lncRNA from 1 species